AAAAGCUUGCUACAGAUUAACGAGCCAGGACCAAGAAACGUGAAGAAUGACCUUUUCCAUUCUCAGAUCACAGUGAGCAUUCCAGCACAACCUCCUUCCCCUCCUCUCUCCAAUUUAAACCCUCGUUUCAUGUGUAGCCCUCGUUUAGUAUUAACAGAUUAUUUUUCCACAACUAGAUUGCUGAUAACUGAGUGGCUUGAGCAUGAAUGCUUCAAGCUCUUUUGCUUUAUUGCUUGCCGUUUGCAUCGGAUUAAUGGACUAUGCGUCUCUGACAUACCAAUUAGCAGAUCAGUUGCUUGCGACGCCGCACGAGCAUUGCUAAUUUCUCUGAAUGAUUGCAGCUUGCAAACUGCAUUAGUAUUGAGUGCUUAGAACACUACUGCUACCUGCAUUAGUACUGAGCAUAAGUUGCAUUCCUGGUUUGUGGAAUACUUCUGAUGUCGUGGUUCUUCUGCAGCUUGCCAGGGCAGUGGUAUUUUCACAAUUGGUAAUUUUGUGUUGCCUUAUAGUAGGUAGCGCUACAUGUGGUUCCUGUUGUGCAAACAAGUGCCAAACUGACCUAGUUCAAUCUUAAAUUCAUCAACAAGAAAAUAUAGACUAGUAUUAUUCAGAGUAGUAGUUAUACUACUGUACCCCAGCUCCAUUUACAUAUGACUCUGAAUAUUAAAGACCGUUUUCCUGGUAGCAUAGAACUUGUGUGGUGUUGCCCUGUUAUAAGUGUUCUGUUGCAUCCCUGAGUACAUAAGCCAAGCUGAUGGAUGAAUAUAAUACCCUUACUUUAGGGUCAGACAUAAACCUACACUGUAACAUUAUUUCAGAAAUAAUAUGUGUGCUUGGAUGUUCACUGUGAUUAACUUGCAGUAAAACAUUGGCUGCUAGUUCAGAUCCUCUGUUUCAUUGUAGUACCAUAUUGGCACGUUUCAAUUAAAUGUUUUCUUUUUGUAUAAGUGCAUGCAGGAUAUAUACAUUCGGUACAUCAUUGUGCUUUGUAUUUAUUUGUUAUACCUUUGGAAGAACAUAUAAGUUCAGAACCCAGUGCUAGCUUCUGGUUGAUUCGCUUACACCAUCAGGAGUCCGUGGCAUGGUAGACUUUUACAGUUUCUGGUAAUGAUAGAUAGUACAGUGGAGUUCAUUUUAUGUUAAUCUCGCUAGCGGGAUAGCUAGCUCGCAGUAGCUCUUUUUGUCUCGUGGCUAGCUAGCUCUGUUUGUUGGGCAGUGGAAUAGCAGCUCACUCCAGAGGUCAAUCAGCCCUGGCAAGCACCACUGGAGGCAGUCCACGAUGAAGUCGCCCUCCACACUCCCGCCCGGCCGGUGGUUGUAACGGCUCGGGUGCCUGUCCGGCCGCAUGUCCCUCGCCUCUGCAGCAGCUGCAGCCGUUGUGCACUGCACGAAACUCAACUUCUGUUUUGUUUUUGAGGCUUCCGCGAAUGUACCUCUGUGCUGCGGUGCUCUGCCUCGAAGGCGCCGAGCGAGCGGUCACCGCGCCCAUACAUAGUCGCCGCCGGUGUUCCACCAGCCGGAGGGCGCAUGCUCGGACAGUGGAGAAGCUUUGAUGCUCCGGCGGUGUGGGAGGACAGCGAAGAAGCUUUGGUUUAGCCCACCGCGCACUCUGCCAGGCUAGGUCGGUUGUGACUGCUCCUUUGGCUCCUCCGACGGCGAGCGGAGCGGCAAUGAACUGCGGUGGAGCGGCGGACGGCGGGGAGGAUGGAGACGGAGACAAAGAUUUGAGUUCAAAUUUCAAACUUGCAGCCCUGUUUGUUAAGUAGUUUUUUUCCAAAACUUAUUUGUAUUGUGGCCACGUCAGUUAAUUCCGGAUGGUGGAAGUACACAAUAUGUGUGCAUUCAUCAAUAAUCUUUGUUCGAAUUAUUUAUAGUUUUUUUUAUCUA